rnacentral:rRNA from 1 species
UACGAAGGGGGCUAGCGCUGCUCGGAAUUACUGGGCGUAAAGCGCACGUAGGCGGCUUUCUAAGUCGGGGGGUGAAAUCCUGGAGCUCAACUCCAGAACUGCCUUCGAUACUGGAGAGCUUGAGUCCGGGAGAGGUGAGUGGAACUGCGAGUGUAGAGGUGAAAUCGUAGAAUUAUUCGCAAGAACACCAGUCGGCGAAAGGCGGCCUCAGCUG